rnacentral:rRNA from 1 species
GAGGGGGGCAAGUGUUGUUCGGAAUCACUGGGCGUAAAGGGAGCGUAGGCGGAUGUUUAAGUCGGGUGUUUAAAACCGGGGCCCAACCCCGGAGCGGCACCCGAAACUGGGCAUCUUGAAUAGGUCAGAGGCUGGUGGAAUUGGAGGUGUAGCGGUGGAAUGCGUAGAGAUCUCCAAGAACACCUAUUGCGAAGGCAGCCAGCUGGGACCAUAUUGACGCUGAGGCUCGAAAGCAUGGGGAGCAAACAGGAUUAGAUACCCUGGUAGUCCAUGCCGUAAACGAUGAACACUAGGUUUUGGGCUCGUCAACGGUCCAGAGCCGCAGCUAACGCGUUAAGUGUUCCGCCUGGGGAAUACGGUCGCAAGACUG